AAUUUGAAGGACUACAGUCCAAUCAAUUUUAUAAAUCCAAAUGAACACUGUCAAUAAUCAAUGUCAAGAACAAAAAUCUACCUGUUCUUUAGCAAACACUAUCAAUAAAAGGACAUUAUCUGUUUGGGGCAGGGGGGAAAGUAAAAAAGAAUUCCACUGAUAAUAAUGCUUCAUCUGUCACUAUCAAUGCAUAAUUCCCAAACCUACAAUGUUGACCAAUUCAUAAACAAAUUAGUUGAUCAUGCAAUGCCAUUAAUUACAUUAAGUUUAGUAUCCUUCUAAUACGACAUUGAACAAACAAGACUUAGGAUCAU
rnacentral:misc_RNA from 1 species